rnacentral:rRNA from 1 species
GCGCAGAUAUCAGGAGGAACACCAGUGGCGAAGGCGGUUCUCUGGGCCUUUCCUGACGCUGAGGAGCGAAAGCGUGGGGAGCGAACAGGCUUAGAUACCCUGGUAGUCCACGCUGUAAACGGUGGGUACUAGGUGUGGGGUCCAUUCCACGGGUUCCGUGCCGUAGCUAACGCUUUAAGUACCCCGCCUGGGGAGUACGGCCGCAAGGCUAAAACUCAAAGGAAUUGACGGGGCCCCGCACAAGCGGCGGAGCAUGCGGAUUAAUUCGAUGCAACGCGUAGAACCUUACCUGGGUUUGACAUGGAUCGGGAGUGCUCAGAGAUGGGUGUGCCUCUUUUGGGGUCGGUUCACAGGUGGUGCAUGGCUGUCGUCAGCUCGUG